rnacentral:tRNA from 1 species
UAUGUAAACUGACUACGAAUCAGUAGGUCGGGGGUUCGAGUCCCUUCUGGCGUACCA